rnacentral:rRNA from 1 species
UGCAAGUCGAACGGUAACGCGGGGCAACCUGGCGACGAGUGGCGAACGGGUGAGUAAUGUAUCGGAACGUGCCCAGUUGUGGGGGAUAACUGCUCGAAAGAGCAGCUAAUACCGCAUACGACCUGAGGGUGAAAGCGGGGGAUCGCAAGACCUCGCGCAGUUGGAGCGGCCGAUAUCAGAUUAGGUAGUUGGUGGGGUAAAGGCUCACCAAGCCAACGAUCUGUAGCUGGUCUGAGAGGACGACCAGCCACACUGGGACUGAGACACGGCCCAGACUCCUACGGGAGGCAGCAGUG